rnacentral:rRNA from 1 species
GAUGAACGCUGGCGGCGUGCCUAAUACAUGCAAGUCGAGCGAACAGACGAGGAGCUUGCUCCUCUGACGUUAGUGGCGGACGGGUGAGUAACACGUGGAUAACCUACCUAUAAGACUGGGAUAACUUCGGGAAACCGGAGCUAAUACCGGAUAAUAUAUUGAACCGCAUGGUUCAAUAGUGAGAGACGGUUUUGCUGUCACUUAUAGAUGGAUCCGCGCCGCAUUAGCUAGUUGGUAAGGUAACGGCUUACCAAGGCAACGAUGCGUAGCCGACCUGAGAGGGUGAUCGGCCACACUGGAACUGAGACACGGUCCAGACUCCUACGGGAGGCAGCAGUAGGGAAUCUUCCGCAAUGGGCGAAAGCCUGACGGAGCAACGCCGCGUGAGUGAUGAAGGUCUUCGGAUCGUAAAACUCUGUUAUUAGGGAAGAACAAAUGUGUAAGUAACUAUGCACGUCUUGACGGUACCUAAUCAGAAAGCCACGGCUAACUACGUG